UUUGCUCCAAUUUGGGAGUGGGGUGAGAGACACCAGGUUGAUUUCAACCAAUCACACUCUUUUUCAAGUCUUGGUUUGAAAGUGACCAAUCACAUAACAUGCACGUCUUCUAAAAAGUAUUUUCACACAUCCAUUGCUUCAAACAUGAUCAUUUGGGCCAUUUUGAUCUUUUGGGCUUCUGGAGUCCAACCUGAUCACAGUGGUGAAAAUGUCUUGUUACAAACAUUCCAGCUGGGAGAUGAUGUUACAAUCAAAUGCUUCUCGAUAGAAAGUUUUGGCAACACGAUGGUUUGGUAUAAACAGAGAAUUGGACAGAUCCCUCGGCCUAUUGCAUACACUUAUUGGGAACAUAUAGAUUUUAAGGAUGAAUUUAAAAAUGGGAGAUUCAAUAUUUCAGCAAGCCAAGGAUCUUUUCAUCUGAACAUCACAGCUAUGUCCAAGGAGGACGCCGGAAUGUACUAUUGUGGGACGGUGUUCUUGAAUUUAAUACAAUUCAUCUCCGGAGCGAAUCUGAUGCUAAAAGGAACUGAAUCUAAAGACUUUAAUGUGGCAUGUGGGGAGACACAAGUUGUGAAUGGAACCACUUUUAAGAAUAACGACAGCAACAAUCAAAAAGUAUGGGAUCCUGUGUUACUUUGCUUGAUAUCCUCCAAUGUUGUUUUUGUGAUAGUAAUUGUCACACUCCUGGUUGUUCACUGCAAACGCUGGGGAAACAGGCAUAGAGGAUCUACAAAUCUAGCAUCUCCGUCAUGUGAGAUUGGAGAUUCAGAUGUGAAUUAUGCAGCUGUGAGUUUUGCCUCCGUCCCUCCAGCCAGAAGAUCAAACAACAGACUGUGA